rnacentral:lncRNA from 1 species
UGAGUUCCCCUUCUCACUGAUGGAGUAGGAAGCCCAGGGUUUCAUUCCACUCACCUGUGAGGUAGCGUGGGCUUUUUCACAGCAGAUUCACUUCCUUCUCUGCCUUUUAUCUUUGACUAUUCUCCUUCUAUUUUUUUUCCUCCACAAAUAUCUGUAUGUCAGCCUCUAUACAUGCUAACUUUCCAAAGUUUCUGAAGCUGAGGAACUCCCAGGGUUAAGACAAAGCAAGCACAUAAUGCUUCAGAUCAUUUACUCAGGGUUUUGAGUUUUCAACAGACACACCCAGGCUUCAUAGAUGCAGUCAUUUCAAGCAAUAUGUUUGCUUUUUCUCCCCAUGUUAUUAUUGGUGGAAAGAUAAUGUCGCUUGGAUGUACUUCCAUAUUAAAGUUUGGAGAGACAAUUUUUACUCUCUACAUAAUGUAUAGGUUUGUAAGCAGAAACUCAAGAAAUUAGGUGUGAUUUCAAAAUAAUUCUUGGCAGAUAGUUUCAGAGCAGUUUAAAUGCCUUUGUCCUGAAUACUCUGGUAUUCCUCUGUUUCAGGGAUUGGGGCUAGCCACAAUUCUAUCACG